CUUCUGUCCUAAGUCAGGAAUCUGAUGUACAGUAGUUGUCGUUUGUUUAGGUAAUUUAUACGUGUUUCUCGUUUUUCGUUAUUUACAUAGAUUAGACCGUUGGGUUUCCCGUUUGAAUGGUUUUACACUUGUCUAGUAAUUGUGGGGCCCCUUAUAGCUUAUUGUUCGGUGAGAGCCAAGGCUCCGUGUUGAAGGUCGUACAUUGACCUAUAAUAGUUUACUUUUAUAAAUUGUUAUUUGGAUGGAGAGUUGUCUCAUUUGCACUCAUACCACAUCUUCUUAUAUCUACUUUCAAUCUUGUUUCAUAGUAAAUAAUGUAUGUUCCGGAUAUAUAACCAUAAAG
rnacentral:lncRNA from 1 species